rnacentral:sRNA from 1 species
CUGCGAGUCUCCGAUGACGAGGAGAAAGACGAAGCUGCGAAGACGUCAGCUUAGAAGGGUUUUUAAAUUAAACUAAGCGUUGUAAACAAGAUCAUUGUGGGCAUGCCGUAAAAAAGGGUAAAAUAUAAAAAGGGUGAAUUUAAAAUGACAAAUAUCAGCUAUAAAACUGAACAAGUAUUCGUUCUUUGUAAUUAUUUCUCAAUUCUUAUUUCGAAAUUCAUUAUUGUUUAAGUCUUACUUUUACAUUUUACCAAAACUUAAAACGAUCAUCUGUAUACACACACAUUUUCUGUACACUUCGUGACUGGAAUGUGACCACAUAAAAAGGGACAACGAAAUUUUUGGGCUGGGCCCACAUCUGCCCAAGCUGAUGAGAUGAAUCACCAGAAAAGAAGAAUUCAACCAAGAAGGCCUAACGCGAAAUUCAUUUAGUCGCACUAAAAAUAAACCAAUGCAAGUUCAGCAACUUGAGGCACAAUGAUGUAAUUGUCUAAAAAUUCAAUAGCUGCCAAGAAACUAAGAAAAAAGGUAGAGGAUCGAGAGCAGCAAGCCACCUUAUCUCGAGAAGUAAUGAAUCACACACAGAAGCAAUAAAAGUAAUCAGCAAUAAGCAGGCAUUCUUGCAGCUCGUAGAUACAUCAGCCAGAUACAGAUACAGCAGCAGAUAUAUAUAUAUAUACAGAUACAGAUACAAACGGGGAAAACAGAGGGUCGCAGUUGAUUUUAGAAGUUUAUGAACAGCUCGGGCUACUGCUGUUUUUCUGCCCCUUUCCGCCGCUGUUGUCACUACAGCGAGGAGGGCAUGGACUAAUGAACAAGUACAGCAGCAACAUCAACAGCACCGCAGCAACAUUGCGGCAUUGCAGCAACAUCGCAGCAGCAACAAUGAUAAUGAAGUAGACUGCGGCGAGCUGCAGCAGAAAACUGCAAGUAUAUCAAAUUUACAAAACAAUUUACAACAGCAUGAGGCGAGGCCUGCAGCUGGAAGAUGAGCACGUUCAAGAUCUCCAGCCGGAGAUCAAAUGCUGUGGACCCUGCGAAGCCCCUAAAACAACAACUUCUGCCAGUUAGAAGCAGUCCAAAAGCAACCUUCGGUCGCCUCCUUUUCCAUCUUUAUUUCUUCGCUUUGUAAUUGUUGCUACAGUUAGGGAAAAACAUGCUGCGCUUGCCACAGCCCACAAGGCAAGUUUGGAAAAUUAUGGCAAAAUGUAAGUUGGCAGUUGCCUCCAAAUUGUGAAGGCAGGAGCAGAAAACUAGACACUGUCUAUAUAUUUUUAGCUGCCCUCUUGGAACCGAAACUCCUGGAUGCUGGAUGCAAGAUGCUGGAUGCUAGAUGCUGGAUGCUAGUUGCUGUAUUCUGGAUGCGGCACUCUGGCGGGCCCUUCAUUACUAUGCGCAUUUUCAUUUGCUCCGCUCGUUUGCUCACUCGCUUUCUGCGAUCGCGGCCUGAUAAAUUGUGCUAAAUUACAAAGAUUUCUUUCUGCCUUGACACGCGCUUGGGGACUGCGUCAAAGAGUUGGGCAGACUAAUUGCGCAUACGCCACCUGGGACGUCUGCCAAACAGCGCAUGAAUUCGAGUGUCUCGCGUCCAUCAGAGCAGGGAAAACAGAAAUUCAUCUUAAUUAUUAAUAAAUUGUACUAUAAUGGGCGUCAAGUGUCGUGGGGCGGAAAAUGAGGGUAGAACUUUGGGUGGGGAACAAGCGAAAUGGGCACUCCCUUUCAGAUGAUGUAUCUUCUCUAAAUAUACGCUCUGCACAUUGACCUUGUCCUGUCGCCAAGCACACAGAAAAUAAUACUUUGCAGUUUGUAAAACAAUGUAAUGCAAGUAAAAUUCUCGCAAGAGGAACCCACACAAUUCUUUCUCUCAGUGCACUGAGCCACCAUGAAAAUAGGGAACCCAAAACAGUAACAGCUGUAGCAACCACAACAAUAACAAAAGCGACAGCACUUGAAAACUCAUUUGGCCUGAGAGUGGGGAAUAUAAUAUGCAUUUUGUUUGGUGUGUGGGUCAGAAGAUCGCUCUGACACGAUUUCCUCACAAUUUCUCCACCCAACAGACGAUGGGAUGGUGGGCACCAUAUAUAUACACAUAUAAACUCGUAUAAGGAGGCGGAGUCCCAGUAAUUAAGUGUGAUUACUUCGGCGACUACUUUGGGGAAAGGCGCGAAAAGGGCGGGCGAAGACUACCCGCAUAAUUAUGAACCAGAAGUAACCGUUUACCAGAGAGAGAGUUCACUAAACUUCAUGUCUCGCCAAAAGCUAGCGGCAAUUUUCAAUGGAUCGGCUAAUUGACAGUCCAAACGGAAUCGGAUUUUAAACCAGGUCUGAUAGCAGCAGCCGCAAAGUGCCCAUGCCCAUAAAUAAUAAGGCAAAAGCAGGCGAAGCUCUUGAGUUGGCUAGUGAAAACAGCAAACUUGCCAAACUUGCACUUCCCCCAAAAAAAGGUGCAAAAGUUCGUUUUCGUUUGAAAAUCAAUGCAAAGUUGGACCAUGGUCACCCUGAAAGUAUGCAACAUUUCUUACGAGAUUCGAACCGCCGUGUGUUGGCGCUAUGCCCGAAAGUAUGCAACGUUUUUGUGUAUACUACAUGUAGUAUACAC